rnacentral:rRNA from 1 species
GACAGAGGUGCCGAGCGUUAGGCGGAAUCACUGGGCUUAAAGCGUGUGUAGGCGGAUCGUUAAGUGCCUUGUGAAAUCCCACGGCUCAACCGUGGAACUGCUUGGCAUACUGGCGGUCUUGAGCCAGCUAGGGGCAACCGGAACAAACGGUGGAGCGGUGAAAUGCGUAGAUAUCGUUUGGAACGCCAAUGGUGAAAACAGGUUGCUGGGGCUGUGCUGACGCUGAGACACGAAAGCCAGGGGAGCAAACGGG